rnacentral:tRNA from 1 species
AGCCUCGUGGUGAAAUUCACGUCAAAUUGCAAAUUUGAAAAUUUACCUUUGUCGGUGCCGGGGUUU